rnacentral:rRNA from 1 species
AGAGUUUGAUCAUGGCUCAGAACGAACGCUGGCGGCAGGCUUAACACAUGCAAGUCGAGCGCCCCGCAAGGGGAGCGGCAGACGGGUGAGUAACGCGUGGGAACGUACCCUUUACUACGGAAUAACGCAGGGAAACUUGUGCUAAUACCGUAUGUGCCCUUCGGGGGAAAGAUUUAUCGGUAAGGGAUCGGCCCGCGUUGGAUUAGCUAGUUGGUGGGGUAAAGGCCUACCAAGGCGACGAUCCAUAGCUGGUCUGAGAGGAUGAUCAGCCACAUUGGGACUGAGACACGGCCCAAACUCCUACGGGAGGCAGCAGUGGGGAAUAUUGGACAAUGGGCGCAAGCCUGAUCCAGCCAUGCCGCGUGAGUGAUGAAGGCCCUAGGGUUGUAAAGCUCUUUCACCGGAGAAGAUAAUGACAGUACCGGGAGAAUAAGCCCCGGCUAACUCCGUGCCAGCAGCCGCGGUAAUACGGAGGGGGCUAGCGUUGUUCGGAAUUACUG